rnacentral:rRNA from 1 species
AUUGAACGCUGGCGGCAUGCCUUACACAUGCAAGUCGAACGGCAGCGGACCUUCGGGUGCCGGCGAGUGGCGAACGGGUGAGUAAUAUAUCGGAACGUACCUUUCAGGUGGGGGAUAACGUAGCGAAAGUUACGCUAAUACCGCAUAUUCUGUGAGCAGGAAAGCAGGGGAUCGCAAGACCUUGCGCUGAUUGAGCGGCCGAUAUCAGAUUAGCUAGUUGGUGAGGUAAAGGCUCACCAAGGCGACGAUCUGUAGCGGGUCUGAGAGGAUGAUCCGCCACACUGGAACUGAGACACGGUCCAGACUCCUACGGGAGGCAGCAGUGGGGAAUUUUGGACAAUGGGCGCAAGCCUGAUCCAGCCAUGCCGCGUGAGUGAAGAAGGCCUCGG